ACGCACGCUGGCGGCGUGCUUAACACAUGCCAGUCGCACGGAAAGGCCCUGCUUUUGUGGGGUGCUCGAGUGGCGAACGGGUGAGUAACACGUGAGUAACCUGCCCUUGACUUUGGGAUAACUUCAGGAAACUGGGGCUAAUACCGGAUAGGAGCUCCUGCUGCAUGGUGGGGUUGGAAAGUUUCGGCGGUUGGGGAUGGACUCGCGGCUUAUCAGCUUGUUGGUGGGGUAGUGGCUUACCAAGGCUUUGACGGGUAGCCGGCCUGAGAGGGUGACCGGCCACAUUGGGACUGAGAUACGGCCCAGACUCCUACGGGAGGCAGCAGUGGGGAAUAUUGCACAAUGGGCGGAAGCCUGAUGCAGCAACGCCGCGUGCGGGAUGACGGCCUUCGGGUUGUAAACCGCUUUCGCCUGUGACGAAGCGUGAGUGACGGUAAUGGGUAAAGAAGCACCGGCUAACUACGUG
rnacentral:rRNA from 1 species